GCCCAAGCAUGCUAUGAAGGGAAGAAGAGCAGUAUCCAGAGAGGUACCAGAAUAACUCAGGCCUGCGUGAGACGCUUGUCACCUGCCUUGCAAUUCUCAGAAAUAAGUCUCAGUAUAUUAUUUGGACCUUACGGCCCUGUAAGUAUGCCUAGGACUGCAGCUGGAUGUGUAGGCUGCAGUUUCCUCAGCAACUGUAAGUGACUAGGAGUGCUUUCCUUAAGCAGGAGAAACAUGUCAGAGUGCUGCAUUUGCAUUAAUUAGAGGGUGCUAUUUGGGUGUAUCUGGUAUUGAAGCUGAAACAUAUAAUUGUGCCCUAGACCUGUGUGCAAAAUGUAAAUAGCAGUCGUGGGUGGGAGCUGGGAAAUAUUGCAGGAAGGGAGAGUGUAAAAACAUAUAUUUAUUACAUUUAUAUCCCGCCUUGGGUUUACUGGAAGAAAGGCUGGGAUAGAAACAUAAUAAAUCUUCCAGUGAACUCAAGAUGGCAUGCAUAGCUCUCCCCAAACAGCACCUUUUAUCCUCGCAACAAUCCUGAGAAUUAGGUUAGACAGAGAUGGCAAUUGGCCCAAGGUCACCCAGUAAGCCUCAUGUCUGAAAGGGAUUUGAACCAAGAUCUCUCUAGCCCAACACUCUGACCACUACACCACACUAGCUUCCCACUAACUUCCUUUGUGGCACAGAGAGCAUUCAGGCUGCCUAAGCUGCUGUUUAGUCUAAAUCUUUAUGCAGUUGGAGAUCUGGUCAUUAUGCUGCUUCCCCCCACCCUGGCUUUGGAUAAGGAAACCAACUACUCUUUUUCUAUAUUGAAGAAUGUCAAGGAAGCUCAAUUCAGGAGGGGAAAUGAGCAUGUUCAUCACCUGGCAAAAUCCAAAGCAGUUGAAUCAAAUCCAUACGCCCCCUUCUCCCAAUUUGGUUGUAGGCAGUGGGGUGCGGUGCCAAGGCUCACAUGACCUGCAGUCAGUCAUGUAGAGGAGUGUGAACCCCCCAGUGGAGACAAUCUGCUGCUCCUGCUGGCAUGUUUGCACCACACCAACCACACCACCACCUUGCCCCUCCCCUUCUACCUGUGAGUAAGCAGCAGCAACCGACUGGUGGCCAGGUGAGUACUGCUGCUUUACCAUAGCACCAUAGCUACUGUUUGUAGACCUACUUUGGCCUGUAAUAAUUUGGCGUCAUCAUAAUUCAAUGAGCUCUGACAGAAUGAAAGUCUCAAAAACCAAGAGGGAGAUUAUAUUUUGCUAGGAGGACAGAUAGAAAAUGACACACUUGCAGGGAGGUGGAGGAGAGAUUUAGAGCAAAGGAGGAUUAGAGAUGGUUUUAUCUUAAAGCUGGAGGGGGGAACUUAGAGAAUUCUGGAAUGAAACAAGAAAGCAUGGGUCAAAGGAUUCUUAGAUCCUGAAUCUCUGAGUUCUGCUCUCAGUUUUGGUAGAAUAUAGUUUUGGAGGCACAUCUGAUUGAACAGUGUGCCUUGUCAUCUCAUUCUCUGCCUUUCUACUCCCAGUAGAGCAGUUUUAGGCAUAGCGAAUCAAAACAACAGCAUACAAAACUAAGGCUGCACAUGAGUGGCUUGAAACACAGCCAGGUCAUCCCCUCCCACUGCGUUUUACAUUGCUGUAAUACUGUAUGCAGGGACGCGGGUGGUGCUGUGGGUUAAACCACAGGGCCUAGGACUUGCCGAUCAUAAGUUUGGUGGUUCGAAUCCCCGCGAUGGGGUGAGCUCCUGUUGCUCAGUCCCAGCUCCUGCCAACCUAGCAGUUCGAAAGCACGUCAAAGUGCAAGUAGCUAAAUAGGUACCGCUCCAGCGGGAAGGUAAACGGAGUUUCCGUGUGCUGCUCUGGUUCGCCGGAAGUGGCUUAGUCAUGCUCCAAACUCCUCUUCCAUUAAACCGCACAUGUGCAAUGGGUGUCUGACAUGUACACAUCUCCGUUUAAUCACACUUUCAACUCAGAUGGAAGCUCAUUUGAGGGGAAAGUGCAUCAAACAGUGAUUUCUUUAAAAAAACCACGCACAACCUAUUAGAUACAUAUGAAUUGUGGCUAAUGUAUGUGUGCUUGGCUUCAGUCACCAGUGGUGGGAGCACACUGGAGUCAGGGUAAAUGGUGAUGUGUAGUCAUCCUAGGGAAUCUGGUUACAAGGGCAUCUCCAGAGGCUGGAGUUGGAGGGGAAGGAAUAAGGUUUACAGUGGAGUUCUGUGCAUGUCUGCUUAGAAGUAUUCAGUUGCAUUCAGCUCAGUGGCUCUUGCCGCAGAGUCCCAGGUAACUGUGCAUUGAACCAAGCCUUAGCGAUGCUCCUGAUCUCCACUUCCCCCUUUCGUGGCUCCUUGUGAGGAAAAUACCAAGUUACGGAAGUGACCAGGAUUGAACAGCUGAAAUUGUUUCCCUCUAGAAAACCAAGAGAGUCUUUCUUGUUCGUUAUUAUGCACAAACAUGCUGAAUUCCUCUCGGCCUUUGGAUUCUAUGAUAAACAUCAGUUACCCUCUCCAGAAUGCAAAAACAAUGCGGAGCCAUGGGGGGAAGCACACAGUCCACUGAGCACAUUUUCUCUGCGACUUCUGCAUUGGAACGCUGAACUCCUUUCUUAAAUUAGCGCCAUCAUUUUUCAUGGGGUUUAAAAAUAAGCAGGUGGCAUGUGCUGUGUUGCUGGCCGCACGCAUUCAAACAUCAUGACAGAUGGUCUUUGGAAGCAGGAGAUGGGCUUGAAGUUAUUUUUAAUUAGUGAAAUUUGGCUCUUUGUUUGGCUGAGCAUGUGGGAUCUCAGUUCCGCAAAGAGGCUGAGCCAUUGAACAACUGGGAAAACUUGUAAGGCUUUGGGGGAGUCUGGAGCCUUGAGAGUCAAGUGAUGGCUUUAAUUAAGCUUUCUUCCAGAUACAAAUUACCUACAGGUGCUACUCGGCUGUCUCUCAACAGAUGCUUUUCUCAACCUUCAUCAAGCCUUGGAUUUUCUUAGUCAAUUUUCUUGUUUUAAAAAAAAUUCAAGUGCUGUAAGAUGCUCCAAUUUUGAGAGAAGCAGUGGUACUUCAGUUGUAUUUCAACUGAAGCUGAAGCAGAGAAAGGGAUUUUUAACUGGCCUGCAUCUCCCAUCACUGUAUGUGCAUUCUGCUUUCCAAAUCUAGAAGGCACAUGCACUGAAACUCCCCCAAGCCCUGCAGUGGGGGGGGGGGAUGCAGGCAUUCUACAUGUACCUUUUCCACUGUGGGGCCAAUUGAGCUGGGGGGGGGGCGGAAUUAGGUCUAGAAAAUAGUGCACACUGGAGCACUCACGGAUAUUUUAAAGUUUUGUUUUUUAAAAAAGGUAUUAGUAGAUCUGAUAAUGAGACUUGGGCAUCACAUAUGGGUUAUGCCUCAGAUCCUUGCCAAAUCUGUAUCAAACAAUUAUUUCUGGGGCUAGAAUUAACCUAAAGGUCAUCCAGUCCAAUUCUGCAUUCAAGGUUGGAAGACUCAGAUCAUUCCUUCCAAUCUCCCCAUCCUAAGCUUUCGGCUCAGCAUGACACCCUACAAAUGUCACAAGAAUUCAGAGAUCUUAGGACUUGCGCCUCCAGUCUUGCUCUAUGAUGUUACAUGAAUCUGGUUUGUGCUGAGGAUAAGGAAGAAAAAUGGGGGGAAAUGCCAUCUCUAACCUUUGACUAAGCAUAUUAAAGGUAAAGGGACCCUGACCAUUAGGUCCAGUUGUGGCCGACUCUGGGGUUGCGGCGCUCAUCUCACUUUAUUGGCCGAGGGAGCCAGCGUACAGCUUCCGGGUCAUGUGGCCAGCAUGACUAAGCCUCUUCUGGCAAACCAGAGCAGUGCAUGGAAACACCGUUUACCUUCCCGCCGGAGCGGUACCUAUUUAUCUACUUGCACUUUGAUGUGCUUUCGAACUGCUAGGUGGGCAGGAGCUGGGACCGAGCAACAGGAGCUCACCCCAUCGCAGGGAUUCAAACCGCCGACCUUCUGAUUGGCAAGUCCUAGGCUCAGUGGUUUAACCCACAGCGCCACCUGCGUCCCCGACUAGGCAUGUUAGGAUCUAGUUAAAGUGGGUUUCUAAAGAGAAGGGUGAGGUUCCAAUAUCUACUGACCAGCCCUCCUGUGUCACAUUUCAUUCCACCCCUACUCUACACUAUCAUGACAAAGGUGCUCUAGAGUCUUGUGGUUUUUAUUUCUGCAUUACAUUUGCAUUCAGUAAAUCAGGAUGAGAUACAUGGGAGGUUUAUCCCAUUUUCAUACAGCAAACUGUGAAAUAGCUUAAGCAGACAGAUAAUGACUGGCUCAAGCUUUAUAAAGGAGCAGGGAUCCGAAACAGAUGCAGUGUUGCUCAACUACAGCUCCCAUCAUCCCUGACCAUUGGCCAUGUUGACUUAGAAUCACAGAAUUGGAGAGUUGGAAGGGACCACAAGGCUCAUCUAGUCCAAUAUUCCUGUAGUGCAGGAAUAUUUUGUCCAACAUGGGGCUCGAACCCACAACCCUGAGAUUAAGAACCUCAUGCUCUACCUACUGAGCUAUCCACUAGGGCUGCUAGGGGUUGGGAGUCCAAUAAUAUCGUUGACUUCAAAAGGAGUUUAGGCAACUUCACUCCCAUUGUGACAGCUUUGUAGCCAAAAGCACAAGAGGCAGGAACCUGCAAGGUCAGUUUCAGGCUCUGCACCAUGCCAUCACUGCCAUUUGAAAAAUCUCUUACUAAAAAGCUGCCUCAACACCGCAGAUUUUGAAACUGCACAGAUCUGUAUACAAACUGUUGUUCUUCUCAAUGUGUUUUUUCUUCUACAACUGUCAGAAAUUGCACUAUAAAUAGCUAGGUCACUUUGUGGCAAAGCCACUGUGAAGGUCCACAGUGUUAGGAAAGUUUGAAAUAAACAAGGCACACAUCACAGCUCAUCCUGGGAAAUCUAAAUGCCACCUAGUUAAAUUCCCACUAUAUAAUCAAGCCCUUCUAUAUUGGCAGGCAGAACACAACCAUCAAGAGGCCCUGUGCCACAACUGGCAUAAAUGGAUACAAGGACAAUUUUUGGAAGCAAGCUCCCUAACCUGUCUGAUCAACAGCUUGUACAGGGGCCAUAGAAUAAUAGAUUCCUAGAACUGUAGAGUUGGAAGGGACCAUGGGGUCAUAUUUUUAUUGCAAAGCAUGUGCUCUAUCAGUGAGUCACAGCCAAAUAUUCCCACCUCUUCAAAAAAUUGUCUGGAAGUACAUUGUGCACUCAGAAUGCUGUCACUGAAGGUAAAGGCAAUGCUUAAUUGGGGGUGUUGCAUAGGAGGGCAACCAUUUUCCCUGGGGGGAAGGCCCAUACCUUGAUUCGAAGUGGGUGGGGGCAGGAAAGGUACUUUUGUAUAUGCUUGGUAUCCCUAAUCACCCAGAUCUUUUUUAUAUUUGUAAAAAUAGAAUUUACAGGUUAAUUUAUAGUGAUAAAUGGGCAGUGCUAAAGAAAGGAAAGAUAGCAAUACAACACAGACUGUGCCAGCAGAAUUUUUCCCCUUCUGCUUACACUACUGCCUUAUAUAGAUUAUUAGAGACAUUUCAGAGAGCUGCAGUUCCCUUGUAGGAAUUCCACAGAAGCUCCUGCUCUUUUGGUAUGUUGCUUGUUUGGGGGAAUUUUGAUCCAACAAUCUGAGCCGCAAUUGCAGCUCUGCAGAAAGGUAGUUCCUCCCAGGAGUGGGGCUGCAUUGCUGACUUUGCUGCAAGGCAGAUUUUUAUAGUGGGCGAGUACAGUAGCAUCCCAUAUGAGGGCAGCAGAGGACAAUGCAGCUCCAGGCCAGAGUGCUGUAGCUGUAGAAAGGAUUUGUGGUGUUAAGAGUGGCAGGUUCCCCUUCAGGCCCCAAGGAGGCCCUCUGCUCACUAAAAUCAGUUUCACUCAGGCUCUGCUGGAUUAUUUGGUAGCAGUUCCUGCCCUUGGGUGGCUGUGCAAUCGCUUCAAAAUGGGCAAAACCUCUUGAUGCUGCCUGUGUGAUUGAUCAGUCCUCUUUAUAUGCCACUAGUGGGGAUGUGAGCAUAAGAAUGGCUGCCUCAAUGCUCUAAAAGCACAAUGUGUAUGAUAGACAGAUGGAUAGACAGGCACACAGGGAGCUACCUUAUACUGAAUCAGACCAUUGCUCUAUCUAACUGAGUAAUGCCUGCACUGACUGGCAGCAGCUCUCCAGGGUUUUAAGCAGGGAACCCUACCUGGAGAUACAGGGGAUUGAACCAGGUGCCUUUGGCAUGCAAGGCCAAUUCUCUACCACUAAGCUACAGUUCAGUUAUAUAUUCUCUUCUCUAUCCCUCCGGUGAAAGGUGAAUUCGAGAUCCUCUCCUCCUUGGGCUCCUCAGUCCUGCCCCACUUCACAGCCCCACUCAUCAUGUCUGAGGGAAAGUUGUCAUUGGGAUCACACUUUGUGAGGGAGAAGAGAUGGUUCAUGUUUAAAGGAGCAGUGUGAUUCUUUCGUUGAAUCCUGGAUUCCAGUCAGGGGUCGCUUUAAGCAAAACUGUAUUGACCUGACCCAUUUAACUUAUUCGAAAGCAGUAUUAUUCCUUUCAGGUUUCAGGCCUGAGCACGAGGGGGGGCCCUUCUAGGCGCUACCCGGAGUCUAAAGUAAGAGUGAGGGGCUGGAAAGAAUAGGAGGCCUGUUGCAAAAUGGGCCUCAUUGUUGCCUUUCCUGCCUUUCUUCUGUACUUCAUGCCUUUGGGAUGGAAACGAGCCUGGUGUUAUUAAACAGGAAAUAGUUUGGAUUUAGUUCUGACUACUAACAGCUAUUAAUGGCAUAGGGUUCUGCUUUUAAUUAUAGUGAGGCCCAGCUUAAACCACACGGACCCUGAUGCCCUCCAGCUUCAACAUAUCCAUUUAUGAACAUGUAAAUCUGGGCCAUUAAGUAGACAACCAAAACUAAUCUCCUCUUAAAACCUAUAUGUUACUUGGGCUGACACACAAAAGCUGUUUGCCCCACCAAAAAAAUCAUCAUCAUCAUCAUGUGUGCGUCAUAACUAUCAGAGCUGCUGCCACCUGAUGCCUACAUGUUUGUGGCACCGGCUGCAAUUUGUGACUUUCUGCGUCUUCCUCUGGCUUUAUAAACACUUCUAUUUUCUACCUUCCUCCUUUCUAGCUGGGGGGCACCCCCAGCUGGGAGCAAGCUGGCGCCAUGCAAAAGGAGAAGUACACAGUGUCCAUGCUUGAGAAAGAUGUAUGAAUAAUAUCUAAGCACAAAAUCCACAUGGUGUGGAACACACACACAUAUAUGUAUGUUUUUUGGCUGUGGGAGGCUUGAGACCCAUACAAAUGCAGGCAAGGGGCAGCCAGAAAAUGAUCACAUACCUCAGUUGUGUUUGCAUUAAAGAACACCCUCCCAAAAAGAAAUACAUACAUGGGCACAUUGCAUCUGAUGCGGUGUGCAUCUGUUUUGAAUGUGGGUAUCGUAGCCAAAUACAAAAAUUGGAGUAGUUCUAAGCAUGUGGGAGAGAGGUUACCCGCUGGGAAGAGACACUCAGCACAUGCUCAGAGGCACUCCUUCCUCAUUAAUAUAUUUCAUGACUCAUUCCUGAUAUAAAAACCAGAUUCCAGAGCUGGUUCCAAAGCAUCAGUUAUAUCCCAACCGAUUCCAUCACAAAUAGGCUAUAAACAAUGCAAGCAGAAGCUCUUGGGCUGGUACAGAAACUUGCAAGAGAAAACACCACUUGGAAAGACACACUGUACUGCAAGCAGCACAUAGAAAACGGGCAGGAAAAAUGUGUGAAAACAGAUCAGAAGUCCCUGGUCUAGGGAGCAAUUUCACUGAACACCAAACAUUGUGAAUGGACUAAAAAAAGGAGAGGUUCCCAGGAGAUCAUGGUGCAGGCUUGAAAAGUGUCACUCACCCCUGCCCACUCUGUUCCUGGGUUGGUCAACAGAUGCCCUGUCCCAACAGAGUCCUAAGUAGCCUGACUUUCUUCAGUCUGUAGGGACUUCUGCCCAAAGGUCUUAUUGACAAUAAAAGCAGCAUGCAACUGAGUUGGCUGAUCUUCCCACCCCAUGAUUCUUUCACUCUUUCAGUGAGUUCCAGCCUCAGCCGUUGCUUUGUUAAAAGCAAAGACACAGUUAUGACAUAACCCAUCCUGUCAAAGCCCCCGUUGUACUUUCUCUGGAGCCUUCCAAUGUGAGGCAAGAGGCCAGGGAUCCUCUUCAUAAGGGGAGUGAACUAUAAAUAGAUUUGUUUGUUUUUUUAAUAUAUAUAUUAAGCCUUUCUGUCGUUAAAACCAGCUGAGAUCACCCACAAAUCCCCAACUGUCAAGGCCCAUUUGUGUGUACUCUUGGCUCCCGUAAGUCUGAUGAAAGAGGAAGCCAGAGGGGAAAGGUUGUGGCACAGAUUGAGCUGCAGCAAUCAAGUGUGGCAUGAGCGGGACGGCCUGGUCACAGCAGGGCUCCCGAGUCACUUAUUGCAGCCACACUUGUCUGUGGAGAACUGUGCACCAGUGCGCAUUCAGUGCGCUGCUGCUUUGGAGAGCUGAAUUAGUUCUGAUGCAGCCUUGGAAGGACACGGAGGUCAUCUGCAGACCUAUAAGCAGCGCUUUUUUAAGGGGGCACACAGUACCGGCACCUCUUCUUUGGUGUUAAAAAGUGUGACACUUACUGUAACAACUUCAUGGUUAGCACCGGCACCUACUUUUCUAGAAAAAAAGCAGUGUCUUUGGGUAUUGUUGUGUCCACCCCAAUCUCCAAGCAACAAGAGACUCCAGGGGUGCCCAUGCUUAUCCAGGGUUCCUUGGAAGGAAGGCUAAUGGAGACUGUGGUUUCCUUAGGAUAUAUCGUUUUAUGUAUACGCAUAUAGCAGGCAUGUCCAACCAGUAGAUUGUGAUCUACUGGUAGAUCCCCGGCUGAUCCUGGUAGAUCGCUGGAUCCUUAUCUAUCACGGGCUUAAACAAAGUGUACAAAAAGUUAAUUAAAUAAAAAGCUCAAAAACUCUGUGGAGUUCCAUGCAUGCUCCUCCUCCCUCCAAUGGCAAUGGGUAGAUCACUGCCAGAUUUUUUUAUACUGGGAGUAGAUCACAGUCUCUUGGGAGUUGGACGUGCCCGAUAUAUACCAUAGAAUGGAAGGGCUCACCACAUUAACACCCCAACAGUUGUUGCUUCCCCAUCAGGUUUCCAGGGAAGCCCCAGUCUCGGCUUUGGACCCAGCACAGAGCAAAACGUGCCUCUGCCUCCUCAGCUGCUAGAGCUUCAGCCAAACUCUCCCUCCAUCACUCAGGCCACCACCCCCCUGGCCUAUUGUUGUUCCUCCUCCUGGGAUGACUUGGGAUCCAGACAGGCGAGCUGGGAAAUGGCUUUCCGGUUUUUCUCCAUGGCAGCAUAGCUCACUCUUUUUGAUGCUGACACUUUGAGAUGUACUUAACUGGCCAGCUAGGGUCAUUGCCUUAACCAAAGGAACCACACAAGUUACCUCAGAGUCACAGGAUCACAGAUUUGGAAGGGAUCCACAGGUAUCAUCCAGGCCUUCCCCCUCCCCCCAGAAAACACCCCUAUAACACCAUAUAAAAUCCUUUCUGCCACCAACACUGUCAGAAACAGCCUGGCCAUCCCGGACCCUGAAGGGGUUGUAGAAAGGAGCAGGAUAUAACUAUUAUCAGUGUCAGAAAGGUUAUUCGGGAAGAGAAGGUGGUAGCUGGAAAAAUCACUUGCUGCUUAGCUUGGUAUUAAGUAUUCCAGAUGUGAGACUUGUAGGAGGGCCAUCCCACUCUUUUCUAACCCUGCUAGGCUCAAAACUGGAAAGAGAACAUGGGAAUACUGUUCCAUCCCAGCAGAACUUGGUGUUUCCUUUCUCUCCCUUUUUCCCAAGCUUAAGUGAUGGUUUCCUGUCACCAGAGUGGGAGUUUUCAGCUUACCCUAUUUUUUCUGCUUGCUGAGUCUCAGGGGAGGGUUAUGGCCAGAUUGGAGACUCUGAGGAAGCAGCAAUAAAUGAAAGCAAUUAGACAGGGAUAUGCCUGUCAGCCAGUCAGUGAAGCAUCUAUGAAACAGAACGUAGGAAUUCUGGGCGCUGUCAUUCCUUAAGUGGUCCUGGGAAUUGUAACUUUGUGGGGGUAAACCACAGUGCCCAGAAUUCCGUGAGGGAAAUAAUGUGCUUCAGAUGUGCUUUAAAGGUAAAGGUGUGUGUGGUGUACUGUACACAGCCUCGAGUCAGAUCAUUGGCUCCUUUACCUCAGUAAUGUCAACACAGAGCAUUUGUUUUAGUGUUUUGGGGUGGGUGGGUCAUUCAUCAUGGACAGCUAUGCCCCCUCCCAUGCCCUCCCCUUCCCGUUCCUCAGUGCUUUUAUUUCUUUUCCAGCCAUGCUCAUAACAGUUUCUGGUGUAAACAGAAAACUGCACAAGCAGAACACAUAAAAUGUCUUCACCAGAUAAUGAGCAGCAACAUCAAUCUGAAAAGUUUCCUAAGAAUGUGUGUAUGUUGUUGUUGUUUUUCUUAUGAUCAGUCAGAUUUGCAUAAUCCCAGAUUUUUAAUGUGUUUUCCCAGAAGCAAAACACAUUACAAUUGUGUGCUGAGAAUUUACAAUUGCCUGGCUGUUUGCUUUUGUGCACUUUGGGGUGGGUUGUUUUGUUUUUCUAAAAUACAGCAUAUGGUUAUGUAAGACAAUUCCACUAGUACGAUCUCCCUCUCCCACAUAGGCCUAGAUGGAACUGAUGCCUCUCGCUUCUCAGUAGGAAGGGAACAACACUGAGCCUGUGAAAUUUUUGAAAAAUGUUCCUUCAGCAUUUCCCCAUAAGUUGACAGAGAACAUAAGUGUCAGUCACAAUCUCACCCACAUCACAUGGCAGGUGAACUUCUGUAAACUCCUGGCUGUAGUUGACAAAAGGACAAGAGGCCUAUAAGCCACAAAGUACCGUAUUUUUCGCUCUAUAACACGCACCUGACCAUAACACGCACAUCGUUUUUAGAGGAGGAAAACAAGGGGGGGAAAUUCUGAAGAAACAGUGGAUGUAUCAUUUUUGCGCCUCAUGCUGUAGCCACAGACAUGUGAUCUGAUGGUGAAUUUGGGGUGACCCAAUGCAAAAAUCCUGAGAAUCCCUGUGGAUCUGUGCUUUGUAACCACGUUUUUGCACCACUGCAGCCCCAGGCAACAGUGGGUGCAUAAUUUUUUUGGUGCAGGCUGUAGCCAUGGACAUGCUAUGUGAUCUGAUGGUGAAUUUGGGGUGACCCAAUGCAAAGAUCCUGAGGAUCCAUGUGGAUCCAUGCUUUGUAACCACGUUUUUGCACCAUUGCAGCCCCAAGCAACAGUGGGUGCGUGAUUUUUUUGGUGCAGGCUGUAGCCAUGGACAUGUAAUGUGAUCUGAUGGUGAAUUUGGGGUGACCCAAUGCAAAGAUCCUGAGGAUCCAUGUGGAUCCAUGCUUUGUAACCACGUUUUAAGUGGGGAGGGAAGGAAAAACACAGAAGGGACAAGGAGCACAAGAGGGGUGUGCAGAGAAGCAGCUGGCUAAGAAUGCAGGAGAGGGGUUUAACGGGAGGGAGGAAAGGAACGCAAAAGUUUUCCCCCACCCAGCCACCCAAGCCAGCCCUCUCUCUCUCUCUCUCUCUCUCUCUCUCUCUCUCUCCCACCUGCAUGUUUUCCGGCUGCCUGCAAGUCCCUAAAAUACUUCCCUGGAUGCAGGAGCACGGAGUGGAAUUAGAAGGAAGGGCGUGAUCCUUUCCUUUCCCCUCUGCUUGCCUGGAGGGGUUGCCUGGAGGGGAGGGGAUUAGCCUGCUCUUUGUUCUGUUUGAGCAAACAGCAACCAAAACAGAAGCGGGUGGGCAGUAAGACCCUGAGGCAGAAUGCAGGAAAGCAACAGCUUCCUCUCUCGUGCGAUUGGAUUUUUGCCUGAUUUUUGCCUCUGCGCCCGGGCCAGUCGGCUACAGGGGCCACACAUUCACUCAAUAACACGCACAGACAUUUCCCCUUACUUUUUAGGAGAAAAAAUCUGCAUGUUAUAGAGAGAAAAGUACGGUAUUGACUGGUGGGAUAAUUCAUUGGUAUCCUUCACUGGUUGCUGAGGUUUUUUUGGGAGGGGUCCCUCUGUCCUAUCUAUAAUACUUGUUUGUAUCCUUCCCUCAAAGUAUUCAGAGCAUAGUUUUAGCUUCACAACAAUCCUGUGAGGUAAAUUAGACCAAAAGUGCCUCCAAACUGUCACUACUUUCAGGUGCAGGUAGGUAGCCGUGUUGGUCUCAAGCUGUCGAAAUACAGUAAAUAAAAAAAAUUAAAUAAAAAUAGUCUAGUAGCACCUUAGAGACCAACUAAGUUUGUUCUGUGUAUGAGCUUUUGUAAGUGUGCAUGCACACGAAAGCUCAUACCUAGAACAAACUUAGCUGGUCUCUAAGGUGCUACUAGACUAUUAUUUAUUUAUUUAUUUAUUUAUUUAUUUACUUUCAGGUGGGAUUCCAUCACAUACCAGCAAAUUCAGUUGGUCAAUUGUAGCUGAUUGGGAGGUCUUGCACAACCAACCUAUUUCCUUAAAAGACUGGAUUUCUUGUAAUGAGGAAAGUGGUGAGAAAUGCAGUGGAAUAACCCUUGCUUUGAGGCAAUGUCAUCCAGCCUCCCAACAAACAAGCUGGAGUGAAAGAUGCUCAUUAAACAGCCACUGGCAAAUCAGGAUGGAUGCUCUAUAACCAUGUUGUCUGGAAGCACUCUAAAAGACUUGCUCAAGGGCCAUCCAGUAUGCUUCAUGGCUGAGCAUGGAUUUUAACCUGGUAUUCACUACCGGAACCAGAACUCAAUCUGUAUAGCACUACUACAUCACAAUGUUUUGGGGAGUCUGAAAUCCUCCCUUCAAAGAAUCACAGAAUUGUAGAGUUGGAAGGGACUCCGAGGAUCAUCUAAUCCAACUCCCUGCAAUGCAGGAAUAUGCAGCCAUCCCAAAUGGGGAUUGAACCUGCAACCUUGGCAUUAUCGGCACCACACUCUCACUAACUGAGUCCAUUAACUGAUCCGGAGAUUCAUUCCAUCCUCCCCCAACUCUUCCUGGGAGCUCAACUCUUUCAAUUCAGCAACACACAGACUGGGCAG